rnacentral:rRNA from 1 species
UACGGAGGGUGCAAGCGUUAUCCGGAUUUAUUGGGUUUAAAGGGUCCGCAGGCGGGCCGAUAAGUCAGUGGUGAAAUCUCAUAGCUUAACUAUGAAACUGCCAUUGAUACUGUCGGUCUUGAGUAAAUUAGAGGUAGCUGGAAUAAGUAGUGUAGCGGUGAAAUGCAUAGAUAUUACUUAGAACACCAAUUGCGAAGGCAGGUUACCAUGAUUUAACUGACGCUGAGGGACGAAAGCGUGGGGAGCGAACAGGAUUAGAUACCCUGGUAGUCCACGCCGUAAACGAUGCUAACUCGUUUUUGGGGCGCAAGCUUCAGAGACCAAGCGAAAGUGAUAAGUUAGCCACCUGGGGAGUACGUUCGCAAGAAUGAA